rnacentral:rRNA from 1 species
GAUGAACGCUGGCGGCGUGCCUAAUACAUGCAAGUCGAGCGAACGGACGAGAAGCUUGCUUCUCUGAUGUUAGCGGCGGACGGGUGAGUAACACGUGGAUAACCUACCUAUAAGACUGGGAUAACUUCGGGAAACCGUAGCUAAUACCGGAUAAUAUUUUGAACCGCAUGGUUCAAAAGUGAAAGACGGUCUUGCUGUCACUUAUAGAUGGUUCCGCGCUGCAUUAGCUAGUUGGUAAGGUAACGGCUUACCAAGGCAACGAUGCAUAGCCGACCUGAGAGGGUGAUCGGCCACACUGGAACUGAGACACGGUCCAGACUCCUACGGGAGGCAGCAGUAGGGAAUCUUCCGCAAUGGGCGAAAGCCUGACGGAGCAACGCCGCGUGAGUGGUGAAGGUCUUCGGAUCGUAAAACUCUGUUAUUAGGGAAGAACAUAUGUGUAAGUAACUGUGCACAUCUUGACGGUACCUAAUCAGAAAGCCACGGCUAACUACGUG